CCUACGGGAGGCAGCAGUGAGGAAUAUUGGUCAAUGGACGAGAGUCUGAACCAGCCAAGUAGCGUGAAGAAUGACUGCCCUAUGGGUUGUAAACUUCUUUUAUAUGGGAAUAAAACGUUCCACGUGUGGGAUUUUGUAUGUACCAUAUGAAUAAGGAUCGGCUAACUCCGUGCCAGCAGCCGCGGUAAUACGGAGGAUCCGAGCGUUAUCCGGAUUUAUUGGGUUUAAAGGGAGCGUAGGUGGAUUGUUAAGUCAGUUGUGAAAGUUUGCGGCUCAACCGUAAAAUUGCAGUUGAAACUGGCAGUCUUGAGUACAGUAGAGGUGGGCGGAAUUCGUGGUGUAGCGGUGAAAUGCUUAGAUAUCACGAAGAACUCCGAUUGCGAAGGCAGUUCACUGGACUGCAACUGACACUGAGGCUCGAAAGUGUGGGUAUCAAACAGGAUUAGAUACCCUUGUAGUC
rnacentral:rRNA from 1 species